rnacentral:rRNA from 1 species
UACGGGGGGGGCAAGCGUUGUUCGGAAUUACUGGGCGUAAAGGGCUCGUAGGCGGCCAACUAAGUCAGACGUGAAAUCCCUCGGCUUAACCGGGGAACUGCGUCUGAUACUGGAUGGCUUGAGGUUGGGAGAGGGAUGCGGAAUUCCAGGUGUAGCGGUGAAAUGCGUAGAUAUCAGGAGGAACACCUGCGGUGUAGACGGCUUUCUGGACCAUUGCUGACGCUGAGGAGCGAAAGCCAGGGGAGCAAACGGG